GGGCUCAGCAGACUGGGAGCUGGAGAUUUCCGAUCAGCCGAGAAACUGGUUCCAGGAGCAGACGGGAAUCUUGGCAAGAAACCUGAGCGUCAUCAACACUCUGAGCAAAAGAAAGAGGUCGUUUUCAGGAGCUGACCUCACAGAUGUGGACGUGGAGCCGACGAAGCAGCUGGACAGUUUUGUGUCCACAGGCAUCUGCUUCCUCGGCAAGGAUGCUGGCGACUGUGUGAAUUACACCGUCAGGUGGUUCUUCGACCACAAACGCAGCGUCUGCUCCCGUUUCUGGUACAGCGGCUGCGGAGGCAACGAAAACCGCUUUGCGACGCAGGCAGAAUGUGAGAGAGUUUGUCUGUCAAAGCACAGAUGAGGCGCUGGGCCACCGAUCUGCACUGAGCUGACACAGCAGCAGAGCGACCUCAGAGCAGCUUCGUCCACAGUGGGUUUUGUUCUGGGCAGUUAAAGUGUGAAGACUUAAACACACACAAGGAGCCGCCUUGUCCUCCACCCAUGUAUGGUUAGUUUAGUUCACUCCUCUGAAACUACUUUACUGAAAUGGAAUAAUCUUUUCUAUGUCACAGGGUGCUAUUUUUAAAGGUAUUUUCAUUUUUAAAUACUUUAAAUGCUUCCAAGAGAAGACAUCACGAGAAUGUGUUGAAAAAUGAUUUUAUGCCUAAAACCUUUAUGAAUUAUGUUUAACAGAUGCCAAAGGAAGCAGGACUGUGAUGCAAAUUUCUACCAGGCGUUGGUGCAGUGCCUUUGCAGCUGCAGCCGGGCAAACAAAAUCUGUGAGAAAAUUUAGAAACAUCAAAAACUAAAGUUAAAACAACGCCAGCUCAAGAAACGCUGCCCCCUGCUGUUGAAAAUAUUAAAACCUGCCUUUAAAAUCCAAAUAUUUCCAAAGCUCGCAGGUGCCUUGAAGCAGCUCCUCUGAAACAGCUGCAUGUAUUUUGUACUGUUUGUUUCUGAAUAAAAGUUUGUGUUUAGAUAA